CAGCAGCCGCGGGAAUACGUAGGGUGCAAGCGUUAAUCGGAAUUACUGGGCGUAAAGCGUGCGCAGGCGGUUCUAUAAGACAGAUGUGAAAUCCCCGGGCUCAACCUGGGAACUGCAUUUGUGACUGUAGAGCUGGAGUGCGGCAGAGGGGGAUGGAAUUCCGCGUGUAGCAGUGAAAUGCGUAGAUAUGCGGAGGAACACCGAUGGCGAAGGCAAUCCCCUGGGCCUGCACUGACGCUCAUGCACGAAAGCGUGGGGAGCAAACAGGAUUAGAUACCCGGGUAGUCCCUGUCUCUUAUAC
rnacentral:rRNA from 1 species